GCCAGCCCGCUCAGAAACUUAAAGGAAGUUAGACGGGGGCCCCGCACAAGCGGUGGAGUAUGUGGUUUAAUUCGAUGCAACGCGAAGAACCUACCUGGUCUUGACAUCCCGGAGACCCUUAGGAAACUAGGGGGUGCUUCCAUCUGGAAGAAUCUGGAGACAGGUGCUGCAUGGCUGUCGUCAGCUCGUGUCGUGAGAUGUUGGGUUAAGUCCCGCAACGAGCGCAACCCUUGCCUUUAGUUGCCAGCAGUUCGGCUGGGCACUCUAAAGGGACUGCCGGUGUUAAACCGGAGGAAGGUGGGGAUGACGUCAAGUCCUCAUGGCCUUUAUGACCAGGGCUACACACGUACUACAAUGGCCGAUACAAAGGGCAGCGACACUGCGAGGUGAAGCCAAUCCCGUAAAAUCGGUCUCAGUCCGGAUUGGAGUCUGCAACUCGACUCCAUGAAGUUGGAAUCGCUAGUAAUCGUGGAUCAGCAUGCCACGGUGAAUACGUUCCCGGGCCUU
rnacentral:rRNA from 1 species